ACUCCCUUCGGAGGCAUUAGAUAAUUAUGAAACGAUACAAAAAGAUUAGCAUAGCUUCUGCACAAGGAUAAUAUUUCAACGAGAUGCCUACCAUGCUCUG
rfam:Cucumis melo, WGS project CAJI01000000 data, contig: 00735